rnacentral:rRNA from 1 species
UACGGAGGGGGCUAGCGUUGUUCGGAAUUACUGGGCGUAAAGCGCACGUAGGCGGCUUGUAAGUUAGAGGUGAAAGCCCAGGGCUCAACCCUGGAAUUGCCUUUAAGACUGCAUCGCUUGAACAUCGGAGAGGUAAGUGGAAUUCCGAGUGUAGAGGUGAAAUUCGUAGAUAUUCGGAAGAACACCAGUGGCGAAGGCGACUUACUGGACGAUUGUUGACGCUGAGGUGCGAAAGCGUGGGGAGCAAACAGG